AUGGAGAGAGGCUUCCUUUACCAGAGGUGUUUGCUGGAAGGAGCAGAGCAGGAUGGGCCCAGCAACAAAGGAGGAGGUGAACGCCCCUUGUGCUUGCGUGCUCAAGAAGAUAGCUGUGGAUGGGGCCCACAACCUCUGCAAAGUGCUUGGGUUUAUGGAAACCACUGCAUUACUGCAGGGUCAGUGACUCAGCAGCGAGACACACUGCGCCGGCACUGGAGAAUCACCAGAGGAGCUGAGAACUAUCCCAGAGAGAAAGUGCUGGUGCAAAGUCAUGAUGUCAGAGCUUUUCUCUGCGUGCUGAAGAUGCCAUGUCUGGCACUGAGAGUCGCAGUGUGGUGGAGCUACAGCUUUUAA
rnacentral:lncRNA from 1 species